rnacentral:rRNA from 1 species
GAUGAACGCUGGCGGCGUGCCUAAUACAUGCAAGUCGAGCGAACAGAUGAGGAGCUUGCUCCUCUGACGUUAGCGGCGGACGGGUGAGUAACACGUGGAUAACCUACCUAUAAGACUGGGAUAACUUCGGGAAACCGGUGCUAAUACCGGAUAAUAUAUUGAACCGCAUGGUUCCAUAGUGAAAGACGGUUUUGCUGUCACUUAUAGAUGGAUCCGCGCCGCAUUAGCUAGUUGGUAAGGUAACGGCUUACCAAGGCAACGAUGCGUAGCCGACCUGAGAGGGUGAUCGGCCACACUGGAACUGAGACACGGUCCAGACUCCUACGGGAGGCAGCAGUAGGGAAUCUUCCGCAAUGGGCGAAAGCCUGACGGAGCAACGCCGCGUGAGUGAUGAAGGUCUUCGGAUUGUAAAACUCUGUUAUUAGGGAAGAACAAAUGUGUAAGUAACUAUGCACGUCUUGACGGUACCUAAUCAGAAAGCCACGGCUAACUACGUG